rnacentral:rRNA from 2 species
UGGGCCUAAAGCAUCCGUAGCCGGCUGUUCAAGUUUCCGGUUAAAUCCACACGCUUAACGUAUGGGCUGCCGGAAAUACUGUUCAGCUAGGGAGUGGGAGAGGUGGACGGUACUCGGUAGGAAGGGGUAAAAUCCUUUGAUCUAUUGAUGACCACCUGUGGCGAAGGCGGUCCACCAGAACACGUUCGACGGUGAGGGAUGAAAGCUGGGGGAGCAAACCGGAUUAGAUACCCGGGUAGUCCCAGCUGUAAACGAUGCAGACUCGGUGAUGCAUUGGCUUGUGGCCAGUGCAGUGCCGCAGGGAAGCCGUUAAGUUUGCCGCCUGGGAAGUACGUACGCAAGUAUGAAACUUAAAGGAAUUGGCGGGGGAGCACAAG